rnacentral:rRNA from 1 species
UAGGGAAUCUUCCACAAUGGGCGAAAGCCUGAUGGAGCAACGCCGCGUGUGUGAUGAAGGGUUUCGGCUCGUAAAACACUGUUGUAAGAGAAGAAUGACAUUGAGAGUAACUGUUCAAUGUGUGACGGUAUCUUACCAGAAAGGAACGGCUAAUACGUGCCAC